rnacentral:rRNA from 1 species
UACGUAGGCAGCGAGCGUUUGUUCGGAGUUACUGGGCGUAAAGGGUGUGUAGGCGGUUGUUUAAGUUUGGUGUGAAAUCUCCCGGCUCAACUGGGAGGGUGCGCCGAAUACUGAAUGACUUGGAGUGCGGGAGAGGAAAGUGGAAUUCCUGGUGUAGCGGUGAAAUGCGUAGAUAUCAGGAGGAACACCGAUGGCGAAGGCGGCUGCCUGGCCCAAUACUGACACUCAGGUGCGACAGCGUGGGGAGCAAACAGG